GGGUAUAGCUUAGUGAUAGAUUGCAUGCUUAGCAUGCAUAAGGUCCUGGGUUCAAUCCCCAGUACCUCCA
rnacentral:tRNA from 1 species